rnacentral:rRNA from 1 species
GGGCCCGCACAAGCGGUGGAGCAUGUGGUUUAAUUCGAUGCAACGCGAAAAACCUUACCUACCCUUGACAUCAUCAGAACUUGUUAGAGAUAACUCGGUGCCUUCGGGAACUGAUUGACAGGUGCUGCAUGGCUGUCGUCAGCUCGUGUCGUGAGAUGUUGGGUUAAGUCCCGUAACGAGCGCAACCCUUAUCCUUAGUUGCCAGCACAUAAUGGUGGGGACUCUAAGGAGACUGCCGGUGCUAAGCCGGAGGAAGGCGGGGACGACGUCAAGUCAUCAUGGCCCUUACGGGUAGGGCUACACACGUGCUACAAUGGCCGGUACAGAGGGUUGCCAAGCCGCGAGGUGGAGCUAAUCUCAGAAAGCCGGUCAUAGUCCGGAUUGCAGUCUGCAACUCGACUGCAUGAAGUCGGAAUCGCUAGUAA